AGAGUUUGAUCCUGGCUCAGGACGAACGCUGGCGGCGGGCCUAACACAUGCAAGUCGAACGCACUCGACCUUCGGGUCACAUGAGUGAGUGGCGAACGGGUGAGUAACACGUGAGAAACCUACCCUGGAGUAUGGGAUAAGCGGAAGAAAUUCCGUCUAAUACCGUAUAUCUUGGCGAGAUCGCAUGAUCUUGCCAAGAAAGCUCCGGCGCUCUGGGAGGGUCUCGCGGCCUAUCAGCUAGUUGGUGAGGUAAUGGCUCACCAAGGCAUCGACGGGUAGCUAGUCUGAGAGGACGAUUAGCCACACUGGAACUGAGACACGGUCCAGACUCCUACGGGAGGCAGCAGUGGGGAAUCUUGCGCAAUGGGCGAAAGCCUGACGCAGCCACGCCGCGUGAGGGAUGACGGCUCUCGGGUUGUAAACCUCUUUCAGCAGGGACGAAAAUGACGGUACCUGCAGAAGAAGCCCCGGCCAACUACGUGCCAGCAGCCGCGGUAACACGUAGGGGGCGAGCGUUGUCCGGAUUUAUUGGGCGUAAAGAGCUCGUAGGCGGUUCAGUAAGUCAGAUGUGAAAGUCCAAGGCUCAACCUUGGAAAGCCAUUUGAUACUGCUGUGACUUGAGUCCGGUAGGGGAGUGUGGAAUUCCUGGUGUAGCGGUGAAAUGCGCAGAUAUCAGGAGGAACACCAGCGGCGAAGGCGGCACUCUGGGCCGGUACUGACGCUGAGGAGCGAAAGCAUGGGGAGCAAACAGGAUUAGAUACCCUGGUAGUCCAUGCC
rnacentral:rRNA from 1 species